GUCGUCAUCGCGGAGCGUCUCACUUUGCCCACGCUCUUUGACGUCAUCGUGGGAGUGUUCCAUCGGAGAAAUGAACGGUCAUCAGCACAAUCCUGUAAGCGUCCAUGUAAGUUAACGUUCAAAUCUUUAAAUAAUGCACUCAGUGUCAUUACUAAACGACAAUAUAGUUAUGAAUUAGCAACCAGUUUAUUGUCGUAAACGUUUUCCGUCUUAAGAGAAUAGUAUCGGUUCUCAGUCUGUACAAAUGUUAAGAUUGCUCUCCAACUCAACCUGCUCUCACCCACUAACGUUAGCUGGCUAGUUGGUAGCAUUAGUCGUUUGCUACCCAGACCGGGCAGGGCGACAACCUGUACCAGCCAUCAUGCAAUCGUGACAAAUGUAUAAGAAUCCUCAUUCUCUAUGGGUACAUCACCUUUAAUGUUUGAUAUUACUGGUGAAUAUAUCAUGAUUCUGAUUCUGAAUUUGUUGACGCUAGCUAGAGAGCUUGCUGAGUAGAACGAGACUUCGAUGAUUACAUUUAACGUUAGCUUGCUACCUAGCUGUCCUCAUUAGCAUACCCUGCUUAGGACCAUAGACUUUGCUUAGGUUUCCUACCCAGCUAGCUAGCUAGCUAGCUUGCUAUCUGACCAAUGUGUAGUGCCCCACCAUAUCUCCCCUCUGUGAUGCUGGAGCUUUUCUCGUUUGACAGCCGGAUGCGAGUGACAUAAUCUUGUAACGUUAUUAUUAACACUGUUUCAUGAGUACACAUAUUAAUAUUGUAAUAUUAACAUCAAAUUGGGAGUUUGCAAUGUGCAGUAACAAUGCCGGCUAAGUUGACGAUUUAGGUUACUGAACAUUGUCGAUGGCCAACUUUUAGAGAUGGUUUUGGGCGUAAACGGCUCAAUCCCAGGCUAUCUUGCGGCCGUCAAGCUAGCUUGCUAGCUGGGUUGUUAGCUACGCGGUCAAUACAUUUAAACAUUAUGGGCAGACCUAGGAAUUUCACUAGAUCAGGGUAUUGAUUUAGCUAACCGUCUUAACGUUUCAUUCUGUCCUUACCUUUACUUCACUAAUGUGUAUGGGCAGCAGAGGCGAGCCACCGACUGGUUUACGGUUACUAAGCUUUAAGGCUAACUUACAUUAGCAAGUAAACAGAUUUGGUCCGUGGUAUCAUGGGUUAUUGUAGUAAUGUUUGAUAUUUUGUAUUAUGCAGCUGGACUGAUACCCCAUGUAUUACAGAAAAAAAUAUGUUGUCAAUGAGAUGUGUACGGUUGUUUUGUUUAAAUUGUAAUCCCGUGUAAAUCUGCUGAAGUUUUUUAACUAACCUUUUAGCCAACGUUACCACCUAGCAGGUUAACUAACUUACUUAACUUUCACAGAUCACGUACUUGCGUACAUGUACAAGUAGCUCACCAACUUUAGUUGGAUGUUAGUAAUGAUGUCAUUAUGGCGUUAUGUUAUGAAGUUAUUAACGAUAGUUAGAUGAUAACACAAGUGUGGUAUUGGUUAGGCUAUUUGUCUGCGACUAGUGCACCCGUUAACGUACUGUUCUAUGGCAACUAUAUGACACUCUCCCAUCUCUCCGGUCCAGCAUGCUAUAUUCAUAAACCUUCCCGGGAAGAGCUGACUGUCGGAAGAAACUACCUUGACACUUUUUAAGGACUAGGGGGGUUCAUGAGCAGGAGAGGUCGUUUUUGGACGUUGAAGCUGACCUCUUCUAUGUAGAAGACAAGAGCCAGCACACUGAUGACCGGGCCAGAAGCUGACCCUGAGCCUUGAGUCAGAAGAGGAGCGGCUGGACUGAUGUUGACAUGCGUCUGGUUGAAUGAAAAGUCACAAAGCUGGCUGUUUCCAUGACUGACCAGAAUAGGAACAUUUCCCUUCUGGGGGCGCCCAGAGACUUUGGCCCGCAAACGACAGUGAAUGUAACCUUUGAUCAUGAGUUUUCACAAGCACAAAAGCCCAUUAGAUGCUUGCCCUCGCCUUUGUUUAGCUUUUUUUGAACCAUCAUUCACAUCCACUGACAUCCACAUCCAUGCUUUUCAAACAAUAGUUUAUUGCACAAAUAAUCUCUGAAAUGUUUAUUUCCAGAUUAGGAUGGCGAUUAUAAUAAUGAAGUUUUGAUCACAACCUUCUGACGGUGGUUUAGAUUGUGCAAUCUUGCAGAGAAGGGCUAAACCACUGCAUAGACACCAGAGCAUUUCAGAGAUUAUUGCAUAUUUGUAUCAUGCUUUAUCAUCCUCACUGGCUGUAGGUAGACUGUUGUAUGUACUUGUGAUAUAGCCUAGUAUGUCAUGAUGGGUUGGCUCCUGUGGACCUGAUGGGUUGGAAAGCAGAUCUUUUGUGUGUGCCAGUAAAAGUCAGGCAAUAUUACUACUCUUGACUGCCAGUUAUAUCACAUACAGAUGAAGUAGAUGUUGUGUUAGUCCCCGUGUGCCAAGAAGCUGCAGAUGAAUACCUCGUGGAUGAAGACAAAAAAAAUCCUGCAAUGCUUUUUUGGACAUUAGACAAAUUGUUCAAAAGGUCCUAAGCAGUUUGCCCUUAAUGUUCUUGUACCCAUGGAUUAAUAAAGGACUUGUAAUCGAUAAGGUUAAAGGCCUGUUCCUUUUAAGUGCCUCUGAAUAACAGGAUCCUUUAUAGUUCCUGUGUCUUUCCUGUUAAAAGCUCAAGUCCAGACGAACCCAGUCCUUCAUGUCUGUCAGCCAACCCCUAAUGCUGCCUUUAAGUGUUCUGUUAACUCAUCCUGCUGCUGCUACUGCUAUUGCUGCUGCUACUGCUAUUGCUGCUGCUACUGCUAUUGCUGCUGCU
ensembl:lncRNA